GUGGUGGAUGAAAAGAGUCUGAAGCAGUUCGAGACAUUCUGCACGUUGGAGUCCCUCCGCAACAAGAGCAAGUCUGUCUCCACUCAGCAAUACGUAGAGAAACUACUAGUGUUGGAAGAAGACCAGACGAGGCGGAUCAAAGACUGUGCGGCCAAUCUAUCUCUGUGUAGGAUCACAAUCCAGAACAACUUGGAGCACAGACAGAGGAAACAGAGACAGAAGCAGAAACAGCGGGAGAGGGACUUCGAGGAGAGCCAGAGUCAGAGCACCUUCACCACACUUACCAGACCCCCCCAGCAGUCGCCAGACCCCCCCCAUUGGUCAUUGGUCACCAUCACAAACAACAACAACAGCAACAAAGAGAAACGUCAGCAAAAUUAGCAUGCUGAUGAGAGAAAUGGACAGAGAGGGAUCGGAAGAGAGGACGACAGGAGAGCAGCUGAUGAGGAGGACUUCUUCAGAAGCAGCAGCUGGACAGAGGCAGAGGGUGGGGACUCCUCCAAGCACCACAUCCGAUCUCCUUUCCACUCAACACCUCACUCUGAGAAGACAGUCCACGGAAGAAGUGGAUCUAUAAAUGCGGAACACACUUCCUCCAUAACUGAAACAGGACAAAGUCAUCGCAAAUGGCCUCUCUUGACCUUUGAUCUGACAUGAUAGUACGGGCAUGACCUCAUCUAUUUCCCCCCAAGCGCUCUGAACUUCAACUGCGACAACAUCUGACUCCUUUAAUACUUUUUCAGCAAACUAAUGAUUUUUGAACUUUUGUAGAGUAUUUAUAUUAAGUGUUUCGUAGUUUUCUAUCUUACUGUCUAGCCUAGCUUUCUAUUCAAUUCAAUUCUUCUUCUU